UUAAUAUAUAUUUUUUUUUGUUUGUGCCUAUAGUGGAAUGGUGGGAUAAUUUUGGACAAUCAACUCCAAACUUGCAAAAGUUUGCUGUGAGAAUUUUAGGUCUUACUUGUAGUGCUUCUGGAUGCGAGCGUAAUUGGAGUGUGUUUGAACAGCUUCAUAGCAAGAAACGAAAUAGGCUUGCUCAAAGUCGUUUGAAUGAUCUAGUGUUCAUCAAAUACAACAGAGCACUAAAACGUCGAUACAACCUACGAGAUAUUGUCGACCCCAUCUCCUUGAAAGAUAUUGAUGAUAGUAAUGAAUGGUUGAUUGGAAGAUUGGAUGACGAUUCUGAGGAGGAUGAUGAGUUGGUAUUUAAUGAUGAUUCUUUAACGUGGGGUGAUGUUUCUAGAGCUGUCGGAGCAAAAGAACCAUCAUUCUAUUCUAGAGCUAGUACCUCUAGACCAAAGACUAUUGUUUCAUGUUCAUCCUCGUCUACCACGCAACGAAAACAAGUAAAUUUAGAUGACUUCGAUUUGGAAGAAGAAGAUACUGAUGGCUAUAAGUCUAACGAAGGAUUGAAUGAAGACGAGCGAUCAAUUUAGUGAUGAUGAGUUUGAUCUUUAGGGAUGAACUUUUAUUUUGAUUAUUGACUUGUUGAAUACUGGGUAGUUUUUUGUUGUGUUUUGUUGUUUAGGCUACU